rnacentral:rRNA from 1 species
AUACGUAGGGUGCGAGCGUUGUCCGGAAUUACUGGGCGUAAAGAGCUCGUAGGUGGUUUGUCGCGUCGUCUGUGAAAUUCCGGGGCUUAACUCCGGGCGUGCAGGCGAUACGGGCAUAACUUGAGUACUGUAGGGGAGACUGGAAUUCCUGGUGUAGCGGUGAAAUGCGCAGAUAUCAGGAGGAACACCGGUGGCGAAGGCGGGUCUCUGGGCAGUAUCUGACGUUGAGGAGCGAAAGCAUGGGUAGCGAACAGGAUUAGAUACCCUGGUAGUCCAUGCCGUAAACGGUGGGUGCUAGGUGUAGGGGUCUUCCACGACUUCUGUGCCGUAGCUAACGCAUUAAGCGCCCCGCCUGGGGAGUACGGCCGCAAGGCUAAAACUCAAAGGAAUUGACGGGG